AGUGAACGCUGGCGGUAGGCCUAACACAUGCAAGUCGAACGGCAGCACAGUAAGAGCUUGCUCUUACGGGUGGCGAGUGGCGGACGGGUGAGGAAUACAUCGGAAUCUACUUUUUCGUGGGGGAUAACGUAGGGAAACUUACGCUAAUACCGCAUACGACCUACGGGUGAAAGCAGGGGAUCUUCGGACCUUGCGCGAUUGAAUGAGCCGAUGUCGGAUUAGCUAGUUGGCGGGGUAAAGGCCCACCAAGGCGACGAUCCGUAGCUGGUCUGAGAGGAUGAUCAGCCACAUGGGAACUGAGACACGGUCCAGACUCCUAAGGGAGGCAGCAGUGGGGAAUAUUGAGCAAUGGGCGAAAGCCUGAAGGAGUCAUGACGCGUGAGUGAUGAAGGCCGUCGGAUCGUAAAACCCUGUUAUGAGGAAAGAAAAAAAGUGGAAGAAAACCCGGAGGCUUUGACGGGACACAAUAAGAAAGCAACGGCUAACUACGUG
rnacentral:rRNA from 1 species